GGAUCGAUGAUGACACCCCACAAACGCAUUCCUUGGAAAAUCUGAACAAAAUGAGUGAGAACUCACUACCGUCUCCUCAUCGCAAACUGAGGUCC
rnacentral:snoRNA from 1 species